rnacentral:lncRNA from 1 species
AAUGUUGCACGAUCUCUUGCUUCCAGGUAACUCUCAUCUUUGUUACUAGUUUCCUUGCAACUCAAGUAUCCUGAACCAGUCCUAUCUUUACUAGGGUUCCAAAGGACUUGAACUGCUUAAGAACAGUGGAAUGCAUACCUGGACUAACCGCUCGUUCCAACAACCUGAGAGCUGAACUUUCCCAUCAACUUCUGCUAAAUUGUUUCGAUAAGGUACGAUUAAGUCUCGUUCUUCUUUUCGAAAUUGAUCAACACAUAUGAGUAGAACUCAUGUACAUUGGUUCUUAG